GAAGAAAGAAGUAGACAUAUAUUAAUGAAAUAAACAAAGCUUAUGUCGACAUAUGAGAUCCUAACAUAAUGUUGUGAUAGUCGGUGGUCUGCGUGUUUUUUGUUGGUCUGUAGUGUAAGCAGAUUGUUAGAAUGGGCGUGCUAUAUCAAUACAGCACCAGCAGUUCGACGUCGGAUGAGGUUGGUCAUAACCGACACGACACGACCAAUGUACUCAUCUUACAGAUUGGCUCCGCUUUGAUCUCAUCGUUUGGUAUACCAGGUAACCUCCUCACCAUUGUGGUACUCCAGCGCCCGUCCCUAAAAGACAACCACUUCACCGUGUACCUCAUCAGCCUCUGUGUCUG